rnacentral:lncRNA from 1 species
GGGAGGCAAGCUGGAAGAUUAGCCUUCACGAUUGCAUGAUGGGUGUCGCGUUCACAUAGUUCUAGGUGCCUGUGCUUCAGAUUCAUGAUGUAGGUUUUGCAUUCGCAAAAAAGGCUUUGGAGGCAGUAACAUAUUUGUGCUUCUAGAACUCGAGGCUUUGGUCGUCUUCGCGAAAGGUAACGCUGGGUAGCCACUUAAGUGUUAUAUUUCGGGAUUUUACUCCUUUCUCUCAUAUCUUGAACCCUAGACUUGGAGAUGGGUAAUUUUUGAAGGAGACUUUCAUGUAGGACUUUGGAGGUAAGUGAUUUCUACUCAUUUUUGGUAUUAUUUCUUGAAUCUACAUGGAUUAUUAACACAUAAAAUAUGGAAUUUUGAGGAAAAUUUGGGGAUUUUUCCUACAACUUUAGAGAGUAAAAAUUGAGCUUCUGGGAGUCGAUUGGACUCAAUUUUGGAAUUUAAUCACAUAUUUGGACUCGUGAGGUUAUGGGUAGUCAGGAUCUACCCCUUGACUUGGGUUUUGACCAUGUGAGUCCAGGUUGACUUUUGUUGACUUUUUAGGAAUUGAAUAAAGAUCGAAAUUUUAUUGUUUGUAAUUGAUUCCUAUAGCUUUGUGUGACGUUAUUGAGUUAUUUUUGGCCAGAUUUGACCAAUUUGGAGGCCGAUUUGAGAGGCAAGGAAUUUUUGAAGUAUUGAUUCUCGCGUAUUUGAGGUAAGUAUCAUGCCUAGGCUUGAAUUAAGUGUAUUUUCCCGUUGUCUAUGAUGUUUGCUAUAUGUUGGGGGUGACAUAUAUGCAAGGUGGAGAUCGUAUAUACGUACACCUUGGUUAUUAAUGAUCUCGGUAGAUAUUAGAUAAUAUGCCUUGUUUUACUAUCAUGCUUCUUUGAUACCGUGUUUGCUCUACUUGUAUGACUAUGUGAGCUAUUAUCCAUGCUAGAAAUCAUGUCUAGGUUAUCUACUUAUCCGUUUGAGAUAUGAUAGAGCUAGUUUUGCUAUGUUGAGCUAUAUUUAUAAUCAUACUUUUCAGUUGUUGGGUCAAAAUGCACACGCAAGUAUACGCGGUCGACACGUAAUAAAGUCAUAAGAAAGUAUCACUCCCACGAGGAUUUAUGAUCAACUAUUGUCCAACCCAAGCUAUUUAUAAAUUUAAUGCUCAAGUGAGUGUGAAAAAUAUGAUUGUUAUUUUUGUAACAGAAUUACUACGAACUAAUAAGCAAGCAAGAAAAUAAGAUCGCAAGUAGAGAAAAUAAACACUUAGAAAGAAUUCAAUGAGAUAGGAAUAUUCCAGGGUUAUGGGAUUAAUGUCUCUCCUAUUGCGUUUUUCGGGUUGAUCUAAUCACUUGACUUAUCUAAUUUGUUGAUUAGCAGGGUUUAUUAUGCUAGUGAAGUUCUUUCGACACUUCGCUCACCUAUUCGAGCCAGCCUAAGACUAUAUGUCUAUAGAAUCAAAAUAGACAAGAACACAUGUAUAUUUCCUGCAAGAAUAACCAAGUGAGGCAACUGGAAUAUGUCUAUCCUAAUUACUAAUCUAUUCUCCGAUGCGCUGAUUCAAGAACUUACACUAUUCAACCUUAUAUGCAAUCUAUAGUUCCCUCUUUCGAGUUCAACUAUAAAUUCAUAGAUAAUACUCUAUUGGUAGCUAUACAAUAGAAUAAUUAAGUGCAAGAUUGAAUAAACAAAUUAAUAUGAUCAAAUCAAGCAAAUAAUCAACCGUCAAUUUACAAUAGUCAAGAACGAGCCAUAACCCCAGAAUAAUGAGGUUCUUAGCCACUCAUGUUCAUAAAAAUCACCAAAAUAUUGUUUUCAAACAUAAAAGCUAAGAAUACUAGAAGACGAAUGGAAGAAUUGAUGAAUUCCGUGCUCUCGAGUGUUUCGUACUUGUGUUUCUCUCUCAAAGUCGCAUCCCCUUUGCAAAAAUAGGUUUAAUUUUGCUUUAAUACGAGUUGGUGGCGUCUUGGGGUCGAAAUAAACAAGUCCCGGGAAAAAUAGGACAACUUCACGCCACUAGCGUACAAGGUUGCGUGGGGCGCUAGCCUUGGUGCUGGAAAUUUGGAGCUUCUGACUUGUGCGCCACAGGUAGCGCCCGACACUGCCUGUCCCGCAUUUUCGUCCCAAAUUGCCUCUGAAUGAUUCCUACACAUAAAAAUACCACUAAUUAGCACAAAUCAUUACAUUACACAUCCGAAAUCUACGAAACAUGAGUAAAAUGCGAUGCGAUAAUGUCACAACCCAAACCGAUGGGCCGUGAUGAGUGCCUGAUUCCUACCUGUCGAACACCCCUAAGCAUACUUCUAAGAUAUAAACAUGAAAUAGAGGUAGGUCGUGCAUAACAUCUGUCAAUAAACUGCUGAAUCAAGUGAAUAACAUACGUGAGGAAACAUUCCUAAAAGACAUAUAUACAUAUAUAUACGCCGAAUACGGUAGGGCGAGCCGACAAGGCUGCUAUGGACCACUAUAUAUCAAUAUAGAAGCCGACAAGGCCACUUGCUAUCCAACUAUACAUGACUGUCUACAGACCUCUAAUAGAGUGUACAACUAAUAAAGGAUGGGAUUGGGACCCGUCAUACCCAUAUAUGUAUACAAAAAUAUCGUACCAAAACCCAAUAGUAGCUCCGGAUCAAAUGGAGCGCGCCAACUCUCGCUGAGCAAGGAUCCUAAGAAGGGGGACUGUCAGCCUAUCUACUUGGACCUGCGGGCAUGAAACACAACCCCCCAGGCAAUAUGGGCAUCAUCACGAAUAAUGUACCGAGUAUGUAAGGCAUAAAAAUCAGUAUAUAAAAGACAUGAAAGAAACAUGGAGUAAAGGUCUCAACCUGUAAGUAUGAAUAGCUCUGUGAAUCAUGAAACAUUUACAAUGUCAUGCAUAUGCUUAUAAAUGUCAUAUCAUGCAUAUGUAUAUGCGUACAUAACAUCAUCAAGCCUUUGAGGGCAUCCCAUCAUAUCAUCUCGGCCUCAGUAGGCGAAAUCAUCAACAUAUACUAACUAAUUAGGUGGUGGUGCGUAUAUAAAGCUGUAACCUUUCCCCAUACCCCAUAUACAUAUAAUAUACAUGUAUAUAACGCCAUCUGGUAAUGUGUCAAUGUACAUGUAUAAAUGAAUGCAAUGCAUGAGAAGUAAGUCAAUAAGAUCUCUCAGAAUGUCAUAAGAUCAAUAUGCCUUCGGUUAAUAUCACGAAAUAAACUUUAUCAACUUACGUAUUUUCUAAGAUCUGUGAACAGACGAUACAAUAAUAGGACAUAUGGGGAAUCAAGAGCAUAGGCAACCCUAGUACUUCUAAGAAUAGAGUCAUUGUGAAAGUUGCAUGUUUGCUCGUUUCGUUGUAUCAUAUGGAUCAUGCCAAAAGGAAAGAAGGGAUAGCCUUAACAUACCUCAAGUUGUCAAUGCAACUCAACAACAAGCUUAUGACAACUAGCGCGCCAACCCUAUAACAAAGAAAUACAUGUACAACUUAGAUGGCACUAGUAUAUCACGUAUCUCAAACAAUAACUCGAUUCUAAAAUAAAACGGGCAGCAUUUCCCUUGAUUUUACUACUCCCUCAAUCCUACUAUAGGCGAGAUAUAAACACAAUACAAUCAGCAACUCAAAAACAACCUAACUACAAUUCAGGAUCAUUAAUACAACAAAAACCCCAAAUAUACCAUAACACACCCAAUCAACAAGUUAUCAAGUAGCCUAAAACUGCAAUGACGAGCGACCAGCCCACUGCCCAACCACAUGUGGCAUUUCUCCACGCCCUUUAUCCUCUCAAACUCCAUAAAUCAAAGGCACAAGAGUCCAACACGAGUGGACUACAAAACAAUCCACUAAAAGUGGAAUAAAUCGAACUCACGACUUUUGAUCACCAUCCCGUGAGUUCUAACUAUUAGGAAAUGAAUUUAUCAACCUUCCUAGAUAUUUAAAAGCUUAAAUACAGAAAGAAUGAAUUUUAUUAACUAUGAAUUACCUUCCAAAACUUAAACUACAAAGAGAAAGAGAGGCGGUAUAUUGAUACUUACGUCGUAGGGAUCGUUCUAAUGUUAUCGCUUCUUGAUUUCGUACCCGGGAUAUUAAUAAUUUUUGAAAACCUUGUAGAGAGAUUAAGGGUAAGUUUAUGGACUUAUUGUGGUCGUGGUAUGUGGAAAAACUAAUAAAGAUACGACAUAAGGCAUAUAUAUAUCCACUUUUGAAAAGUCAAAGAGGGGCUAGCUUGGCACCCUAGCAUUGGUCCAUCUUCAGAUACUUAUAUCUUUUAAUCCAGAUGUUGGUUAAAAGCAUUGGAAACUACAUUACAAGACCUUCCAUUUGGUAUAUAAUAUGUCCCAAGAAGACCUCAUAUAACACACGAAAUGUAUUGCUCAAAAAGCUUCGUUACAAGGCAAAUCCUUAGUCGUUUUUCCGCAACUUAAAUACGAUUUUUUCCAAACUUUGUAUUUUAUAUAAAAACAUCAUAUAUAGUCAUAUUAUGACUUUAAACUCAUUUAAAUCAUGAAUAAUAAGUCUCAUAUUCAUUAUACAUCACCUUGGGACGCACAUUGUGUAACAAAUAUAUAUAUAAAUAUACAUACUUUAAACCGAAUAUCAUCAGUCAUGAUAUUAUAUAUGUGUUUUAUAUCUCUGUCUCUGUGCACUUUUUAUAUGUUAUCUCAUAUGUUGUUAGUGUCCUUGUGUGUGACAUGGGUUUGAGCUGAGUUGUGGCACGUUGGCAUAUUCUGUAUGGUAUAUUGAUUAUGAUAUUGUGAGAUGUUGGCAUACUGAUAUUUGAGCAGAUUAAUGACUGAUCUUGGGCCAUAGAGCCAUGUUGAUAUUUAAUGUGAGGUGGUGUUUGCAUCAAGGCCCCAUAUUGGGCUUAGUGGCAUUGAUUAUUGAUUGUUAAUAUUGAUUGAGAGGUGAUGCUUGUGCCAGGAUCCAUAUUGGGCUGAGUGAUAUUGAUCGUUGACUUUUGAUCCGAUCAAUGCUUGGGCUAGGAUUCGCCCUCCGGAGUCAGGUGAUAACCCAUGUUACUUUUGGUACUGUGAGUGCAGACACUUGAUAUGUGUUUAGUAUCGGACUUAUGUCAGGCACCCGCACAGUGCUAAGUGUGUGUAUGCGAUGAUUCAAGGGCAUUGUGCCAGGUAUCGUGAGAGUGCUGAGAGUAUGAUUGGGCGGUACUUGUGCCUGGCACUGUGAAUGUGAUGAGACUUUGUAUACUUGAUGAUUAAGCUGUGAUGUUGUUGAUUUUUGCAUGUAUAUUUGUCACGCAGGCAUAGAGUUGUAUUUUUCUCAUGCUAAUUGGUAAAUGAUGUCUCUAUAUGAUGUUUAGAGCUUGAAUCUGCAACUUAGUUUGAUAAACAUUUGUUUAGCUCAUUUUUGUGGAAAAGUUGAUGCCUUGAUUGAUAUACUUGAAAAGCAUGUUUAUUUCCCCUCUUAUUGUGAUAGAGUUGAACCUAAUAUUAAUUGAGCUGCUUUAUUUCCUUUUGCUAUUAUUCUGUUGUUAUUAUUGUUGUUGGCUAUUGAAAGCGAGUAUUGGACCUUGCCAAGCUCAUCACUGCUUUCAGCCUGAGGUUAGGCUUGCUAUUUAUUAAGUAUAUCGGUUAUCCUCAAACAAUACUCUGUACUUCAUGUGCAGAUCCAGGUGUUGCUGAUCGUGGUAGUUAUCGGUGAACCAUAUCCGGUUUUGUUGGAGAUUUUAAGGUAACACUGCUAUUCCGUUUGCAGUCCUUGAAGUCCCAUAUUUUAUAUAUGUUAUUAAUGUUCACUCUUGCAGACAAUAUUAUAUUUUGUUCAGAUUUUAUGCUUAAUACUCUAUAGAGCUCAUAUAGUCUGCAACCAAGCGAUAGUCUACCUCUGAGAAUAUCCAGUCCCUAGAUCUCAAGAAUAUAGGAAUCUUCAUAUCUGAUCUCCAAUUCUCCCGCUCAAAUAACUGAUACGUCACUCAUUCACAAUCACCUCAUGAAAAGUACUCCCAUAAUUCUUCCGUGAUGAGUAGCAAACACAAACAAUCAAUGGUUACCAACCAUGUGACUUUAGUAUUACUAGUCAAACAUCCGCAACUCAAUACACAAUGCAUCUUCUACACUACAUACUACACAAAGGAUACGAGACAAUGCUAGCAUCCUCUUAAAUAUUUGAAAUCUCCCAUGUUGUCUAAAACUCACGACCUUCCUUUUGAAACUGAACUGCAAUCUUAUCCAUGCAAUCUCAAUCCCACACAGUGCACCACACCUAGCAUGCUAAUAUAUAAAAAUGCGAGAAUCUCAUAAUAAACUCUGAAUCAUAAGUAGGAUAUACAUUCCAUCAACCAUAAACCUUCCACUUAACUCAAUACAGGAGUAUCGCAACACACAAAAAAUCUUCCAUACCUGUAGACAAACCAUGGUCCAUCGUGAAAUCUUCGAAACCCCUUUGCAUAUAGGUAAUCCAUCAAAACUGAAGCCCAAAAGUAUUUCUACAAAACACUUGUAAAGCCCUAUCAUACCAAAGGAACCAAUUAGUUCUACUACCAUGGUAAUUCAAACCACUGCUAAGCUGACCCAACUUCUUCAGAUUCCUCCUGACUUGCCUUCAAGGUAACACUUCUCAUUCCCAGUACUCUAUAAGCCUCAAUCAAAACUCAUCCCAAGUGAAUCCAAUAUGAAACCAUGUUUUCCUUAAACUAGUAAACCAUUUUUUUCCCUCUGAUGCACCCAAUAACACCUCAAAUCGAAUGCUCUCUCUGAAGAGACCUUUUGCGAAUCUAGAGUUGUUUCUUCCAUCUCUAAUACUGCAAUAUAGAACCAAUAACGAUAUGGAAAUAUUGCAUGUCUCGGCACCAUCUAAAUACAAAUUUCAGUUCUUAGCCAUACAUAAAUUCGGGACUCUUUAAAUACCACAUAUGAAUCUUGAACCCAUUAGAAGCUUCUCGAGAGUCAUCCACUUUGCUCUAAUCUCCAAUGUAAAACCAAUACGUGUCAAACGAAUUGUUCUCCACUAGAACAUGAAUAUCCCAAAAAAUAACCAAGCGAUUCAUUUCCCUUGCACACUAUACCGAUAACGAAAAUCAAACCCGAAUCAUCCCAAGAUCUCCAUAUACCCGAAAAGUAUAGCACAUCAUGCAUCCAACAUUGUCCUUUCUUGAGUCAUCCUUGAAGUCAUCCUCUUCAAGUCAUAACUAAUCUACAAGUGUCUCUUAGUCCAUGAACAAUAUAACACAUGUCCAUGCAGUCCGAUCGUCGAUAAUAGACUCCCUCACUUGGAUCUGUAACGACCUGACCGAUUAUUUUGAGCUUUAGCAAACUGUUUAGGGGUUUGCGACUUUGAUAAGCUUCAUAUUAUACAUUAUGACUCGCGUAUAUGGUUGGUUUCUAUUUUUGACAGGUUCAGAGUUGAUUUAAGAGAGUAAUUCUUAAUUCGAAAGCUUUAAAUUGAAAGAAUUUACCAAAGUUUGAUUUUUAAGUAAACAAUAUAUGAUUCAUGUGUUGAUAGUUCUUAUAGGUUCGUAUGGUAAUUUUGAACUUGGGCAUAUGUUAAGAUUUUAAUUUGGAUGUUCCUAUAAGGUUUUGGCUCUAUUUGGCGAAAGUAUGCAAUUAGAAGAAUUGGAGACUCCACAAGUUUGACCGGGAGUUGACUUUGAUGGUAUCAGGUUCAGAUUGUUGUUACAGAACUUGGAAUAGGUUCAUUUCGUAAUUUGGGACUUGUGUGCAAUGUUUAUUUGGAAUCCGGAUUGGUUCGACAUGAAUCAAACACUUGGUUGCAAGUUGGAAAUUUUUGAAGUUAAGAGAACGAUCUUGAUCUUUGAUUUGUGGUUUUGAUGUUAUUUGCGAUAUUUUGAGUCUUUGGAUAAGUUUGGAUAUUGUAUUUGUGCUUGUUGGUAUUAUUGGUCGGGGUCCUGAGGGACUCGGGUGCAUUUCAGGUUGAUUCCAGACUAUUUGGGAGUUGAGGGCACAUCUAGUUCUAGUGCAUUUGCACCUGCGAGAGUGGUUGUGCAGAGUCACAUCCGCAGUGCGUUCUGCACAAAAGCGCAUGUUGUCCAUGUUAGGAGAAUGUCAUAGAUGUUGGGUCUUUUUCACACUUGCGGUGUCGCAUCUGCGGAGGGUGGACCAUAGAUGCAAGGUUGACAUCAGCUCAGGGAGGAGGACCGUAGAUGCGGGAGGACGGUAUCACCUGCGGAAGCUUUAUCGUAGAAGCAAUGUUUGGAAUAUGGGCUGGAGUUCAUAGAAGUGAGGUUGAGGUCGUAAAAGAAAUGUCAUACCUGCGGCUUAGUGAGCGUAGAUGCGAGGACGACUGGCAGGGGUAUAUCUUCGAGGUUGCUUCAUUUUAUCAUAUUUUGAGAUUUGAAACUCAGAUUGGGCCAAUUUUUGAGGCAAUUUUCACCCUUGUGGAUUGGGUAAGUGUUAUUAAAUCAGAUUUGAUUAUUAUUCAUGAUUCUAUAUUCGAUUUUUGCAUUUGAUUGGUAGAUCUGAGGGAGAAAAUUUGAGGUUUUUGUCUACACUUUAGAAGGUGCAUUUUGGGGUUUUGACCAUCGAUUUGAACCCGGAUUUGGAAACUAAUUAUAUAUUUGGACUUGGCAGGCUAUAGGUCAUCAAAUUUUGGUAUUGGUUUCAGUUUCAUGCAAUUGGUACCGGGCUGACGUUUUGGGAAUUCAUCAAAAAUCGAAGCUCUAUGGAUUUGGAUCGCUUCCUAUGGCAUGUUUGACUUCCUCAGAUGAUGUUUGGCUUGGAUUUGUGUGAUUUGAGGGCUAAAUCAAGGAUUUGACAUGAUUUGAGGUUGAAGAUUAGCUCGGAUCAGAAAACUAACUUGUCUAAACUUGGUUUGAGGGUAAUUUUCCAUUAGCUAUGGUAUUUGUUAUAUGUUGGGGGUAACACACAUACUAGGUGAUGGGCGUAUAUGCAUACACCGGGAUUAUUCAUGAUAUAGGUAGUUUUUAGGACAUUAUAUACCUUAUCUUGCUAUCAUGCUUAUAUGAUAUUGUGUUUUCUCUACUUGUAUGACUACAUGGGUUAUUAUUCAUGCUAGAAAUUAUGUCUAGGCUAUUUGCUUAUUUGUUGAGGCAUGAUAGGUCUAUUUUUACUAUAUUGAGCUAUUUGUCCUAGCCGUAGUCAUAAUUUUUAGUCAUGAUAUUAUAUCCCUGUGUUAUAUCACCAUAUUUGUAUACUUCUUACUUGUUACCUCACAUGUUGUUAGUGUCCUUAAUUGUGUGACAUGGUUUUGUGUGGAUUUUUGGCACGUUGGCAUAAUCCAUGCGGUAUAUUGAUUUUGAUACUAUGAGAUGUUGGCAUAUUGAGAUCAAAGCAGAUUAAUAACUGAGCUGGGGCUAUAGAGCCAUACUGAUAUUAAUAUUGAGGUGACACGUGGCAGGCCCCCAUAUUGGGCUGAGUGAUAUUGAUAGUGAGGCGACACGUGCACUAGGCCAUUUUGCAUGUGUUAUGAUGAUCGCUGACUUUGAUAUGGUCAACGAUUUGGUUAGGAUCCGCCCCUCCGGAGUCAGGUGAUAACCCAUGGUCUUUGGGCCUUGUUGAACAUUACAUGUUGUGUGAGAGACUUAUUCCAGGCAUCUAUAUAUAGUGCUGAGAGUGUGUAUAUGUGUGUGUUAGGAUCCAUGGGCAUCUUGCCAGGCAUCGUGAGAGUGCCGAGACUAUGACUGAGGGGCACUAUGUGCCAAGCAGUUUUAACCUGCUGAGAUUACAUAUACUUGAUAUUUAAACUUUGAUUCUUUGUUGAUUUGGCAUGUAUAUCUAACAUGCAGGCAUAGAGUUAUGUUAUUCCUCAUUCUAAUUAGUAUUUGAUGUCUCCACUUGAUGUUUAGAGCUUGAUAUGCCAAUUUUAUUUUGUUAACUACAUGUCUAAGUAAAUUCUGUGAAAGUUGAUGCCUUGAUUAUUACAUUUGAAAAAGAAAUGUCUAGUUUUCCUCCUGUUGCAUUAGGCUGAGCCUGUUAUUGUUUGAGCUGCUUUUCUUUACAUGCUAUUUAUUCUACCGUUAUUGCUAUUGUUGGCUGUGAAAAGUGAGCAUCGGACCUUGCCAAGCUCGUCAUCGAUUUUAGCCCGAGGUUAGACUUGUUACUUAUUCAAUACAUGUGGUCGGCUGUACUCAUACUAAACUUUGCACUUUGUGUGCAGAUCCAAUAUUGCUUAUAUCGGCGGUUUCCAGUGAGCUAUAUCUGGAUUAGUUUGGAGAUUUUGACGCAACAAUGCUAUUCCGUUCACAUGCCUUGAAGUCCCUUCUUUUAUCCUUUGUUCUUAUUGUUAAGUUUUCCAAAAGUAUUGUAUUUUAUUUAGAAUUUGUAUUUAGCUUUUGUAUUUUCCAAAAGUCCCUUAUUUUAUCCUUUGUUCUUAUUUGUAUUUAGUAUUUUCAACAUUGCUCAUGUACUUGGUGACACCAGGUCUUGGGGUGAUUUCAUUGACUGACAACAUAACUUCAGUUUUCUAUACUAUUCAGCUUUUCAGACCGUUUCUUAUCUUUGUUAAAGUCUAUUUCCGAAUAAUUAUUGUUUUUGGCUUGCCUAGUUAGCAAAGUUAGGCGCCAUCAUGGCUCCGUUGGUAUUUUGGGUCGUGACAGGCUCGAAGCCACCGAACACAUCAUCCUAUAAACCAUGAUACUCUUCCUCCAUAACUGCCAUGGUCUCGCAUCGUCAUCCAAUUGAAUCUCCUUAAAAGAUCGUGAAGCACUAGUCAUCCUAUCUUCCAGAUCAUCCGCUGAGUGCAUACUCAUCCUCGUGGCGGUCAUGCCAACUUCCUCAAGUGAUCUGAACUCUAAUGUUAUCACAUGUAUUCCACUGGAUAGAAGGAAAACUCUUCAUGGAAUCCUCAUAAGAAUCACACAACCUCAAACCCUCUUGUAGGAGAUAACCUACCUGCUUAGUCUCAAACCGAUGUCUCUCUGCGUCCUUACCAUGGUCACAACCAUUAUUAAUUCUUAGGUAGUUAUUGAAUUCAUCAUUUUAAUUUAUUAUUUAUAUGACUAUCUUCUGUUGUAGGUUAUACUUGAGUUGGUUGGUUCACCGAGCGGGUUGAGUUACGUAUAAUUACGACCUAGUGGGACUUGGGUCAUGACAUUUAAUGUGAGAAACUAGGAAUCUUUAAGAAUUGUAGACCUAUCAUAUCAUGGGCCACGUUGUGACGACCAUUUGGUAUGUAGUUCUGGCCCUCUUGUAUAAAUAACAAUUGGAAAAUAGUACAUGUUUUUGAAUAUAUUUAUGUGUAUUGGGUGAUUAAUGUAGAUUGCAUGGUUAUUGGGAUGAUUUAUGCUCAUUACAUAUUUCUUUUGUGUAGGAACUUGUUUUGAUGAAAGUGGAUUGAAAAGAGAUGAUUCAGUGUGAAAAGCAAUUGAAAACACAAGAAAAUAACUAAAGGAAGCUUGUCCAUCAAGUCUCACAUCACAUGAGAGGCAUAUGAGCCAAGGGUGCUUAGAGUCGCGCAAAAUAAUUUCUCCAGCCCAAGACGAGAGUCAUCGGUAGAAUGAAGAAAAACAAAGAUAAGGGGUCCAACAUGCUAUCCUCGCAUUGCACAAAAGGCACACACAACACUCAAUUUUCCUUUUCAAUUUAGAUUGCAUUAGGCUACCUCGUAACUACUCUAGGUGAUACAAAUAUACCAUGAAACAUCUUUUGAAGGGGGUUCACAUCUUUUGAGGCAAGGAACAUACAUUCCGACGAUUGGUAGAGUGAAUAAGUCAACUUCAAAGUAGAUUUGUUGUGAACAGGGGCAGUACCAACUACGACUAGUUCUUCCUUUAUUUCUUGUUCCUUUACGACUUUGAACUAUUGUUUUAAAAACCAAAUUAAGAGUUGCUAAGUUUUUUAGUUUUGAGGUUGUGGUUGAACCUGAAUCUUGAUGUUUGUUGAUUAUUAUCUUGUUAAUAAAAAUUAUCAUCAUUGGUUGUUUCUUUAAUUCUAGGUUUAAUUUGUAAAUUGUGUGGCCACCAAUUUACCUACAAUCUAUGCUAACUUGGGAAAACCAUAUUUAGAUUAGAGUAGAAUUAAAGAGAGCUUGUUUCUGAACCUGUGUCUCGGAGAAUGAUUCCACGGUUAGGAUAGGAUAUACCUAGUAGUCUUACUCAGUUGAAUGUCGUGCUAUAUUCAUUUUUAAUAGAUUCAAUACCAUCGAGAUAUAGGAUUGAUAUAUCUUGGAUAGACAGAUAGUACUACAUGAGCAUGCCAUUCACAUGAAUGAUCCGGUCAACUAGCAUUCAUAUAUAAUUACAAUUAAUGGGUGUAAUGACAUACUUAGUAGGAUUGAUAAAUCGAUCAUAACCCUAAAUUUUUUAUCUCAAUUAAUUAAACCAUAAUCAUAAACAAUCGCAUUCUUGUUAGUUUGGUUCAAUUACCUGUUUAAAUUCUACAAUAGUAGUUUAGUAGCAACCACUACUCUUUGAUAACCUUGAACAGAUAAUCGAUUUUAGUUUGCUUAGGUCACGAUAAAGGUUAAGUCUCUAUAAGUUUGACAUUUGAUUUUAAUAACUUUACUACCUGUGGACCACAUAUACUUGCGUGUACUUGGGGACCAAUAAGUUGUUGGCACUAUCAUUGCGGACUUAAAAAAUAGAUUAUUUAUCUAAGUUGAGCUUUUAUUUGUUUUCUGUUCAAAUUUUUAGUUUUCGUAUUUUUACCUGAAUCAUCUUAGGUACUACGGAGUGAAUGUUAGAGGAAAAGGAUGAGGAUAAAGAUAUUUGCACCCUUUUAUAUUGAACUAGAAAGAACAUUCCAUAAAAUUUUAAAAGGCAACAAAAGCAGCUAAGGAAGCUGAAGAAGCAGCUAAGGCGAAUUUAGAAGUAGAUGAACCAGCUAAUGCACUAAGUUAACAAUUUUUGAUCUCUUGCAACCUUUAGCAAUGGAAAAUAUUGAGCGAGUAGUGAUUGAAGCUGCGAGACCUAGCCUUGCAAAUAUGGCACAUACUCUAAUUAAUCCUGCAGUUACUGAUAACUUUGGGCUGAACAGACAUUGUGCAACUGGUGCAAUAUUGCUCAAGGUCAAUAUGUUGGGAUAUUAUAUGAAGAUAGGCAACGUCAUAUUCUGAAUUUGCUGGUGAUAACAGACACCUAUAAUUCUCUAGGUGUCUCAUCGGACUACAUCAGAUUGAUAUUAUUUUCCUUUUCAUUGCUAGGGAAAGCAAAAAAAUAGUUAUAGAAAUAACCGACAAUCUCGAUAAAAAAUUAUGAUGACUUAGUUCAGAAAUUCUUGAUCAAAUUCUUCCCCUCUAGGAAGACAAAAUCGCUAAGAAUCCAAAUUGCUGGAUUUUAGCAGAGAGAGUGUGAAUUCCUUCGUCAAGCUUGGGAUAGAUUUAUGAAGCUGCUAAGAGAUUUUCCACAUCACUGUUAGCUGGUUGAGUUUUGGACACGCUUUCAUAGAUUGUUAGACGAUACUCUAAAGAUAUAUUUGGACUCAACUUAUGGAGGUAUGUUGUCACGACCCGGAAUUCCACCCUCGGGACCGUGAUGACGCCUAAUAUUUCACCUGCUAGGCAAGCCAACGUUAGCUAUAUUUAUUAACCAGUUUUAACAAUUCAAAUCAAAUGAUGAUAAUAACAACUGAAUAGUCUAAAAUAAGGUGAUAAACUACAGAACGACGUAAUCAAAACACAAUCUCAGAAACUGGAGUCACAAAUACAUGAGCGUCUAGAGUACUACAGAUAAAAGUCUGAAUAAACACAACUAUCUGAAUCAAAAUAUACAGCAAAAAUGUCAUAAAAGGGGACUUCAGGGCUGCAGAUGCCGUACAGCUAUACCUCAAGUCUCCACAGGUAGAUGGAUCUGGGAAAUCUCGCUAGGCACUACUUGGACCAACUCUAGUAUCUACACAAGAAGUGCAGAGUGUUGUAUGAGUACAACCGACCUCAUGUACUCUGUAAGGGCCGAGCCUAACCUCGAAGUAGUAGUGACGAGACUAAGGCGGGCCACUUACAAUAACCUGUAUGCAAUAAUAAUAAUAAUAACAGGAGCAAAGCAGUAAACACAUGAAAACAAAGUCAAAAUCCAACUACCAGAGAGCCCAGAAUAACAAGUCUCAUAGUAUUAUAACACAACACCGAGGCAAAUCCAACAAUCACGAACAAGUACCACAUAUACACUCUGUUGUGGCACACAACCUGAUCCCACCAUAUCACCAUCUGUCAAUAUCAUAAUCCAUCCUUAUUCCACUAUUUUGAUUUAUUACCUUUCAAUUUUCGUUGCGGUGUGCAACCCGCUCCCUAAAAAAUUUUAAUCAACAUAAAGAAUUCAACAACUAAAUUUCUAAGAGUUUCUACAUCAAGAGGGUAAAUGUACAAGGCAACAAGGAACCACACAAUAAUCAAAGAAUCUCUAACAACUCAAAGUCUCAACUUUACCAAUUCAUCGGUAUCUAACAACUAAACAACUCACACAAAUUAAACCACAUUAUUGAAUGCAACAAAUACCACAAAUCAAGAGAAACAAUUAAGGCAUGUGACAAUUUAAGUAUGCAAUUAAAGCAAGUAGAAACAAGUAAUAAAUAAGCAUGGAGUCAUGAAAGGAACGGAUAAAUUAAGGCAAAUGAAUGACUAAAUGACAAAUACCAAUUAUGGCAUAGAAGUCAAAUAAAGGUAUGUAACGAUUAAGGCAUAGAAGUCAAACAAAGGCAUGUAACAAUUAAUGCAUGAAGCAAGAUAUAUCAUGGAAUGAACUAAAAUAUGGAAAUAAAUAUCAUGUCGGCAUAUAUACACUCAUCACCUCGCAUAUACGUUAUUUUUCCACAUAAUUCACAUAACUCAUAGUUCAAGUAUUCCUAAUUGCCUCAAGUCAAGUUUGGACCCAACACUUACCUCACUCCGCGAAUUAAAGCAAUCAACCAACCACGACCUUGCCUUUCGAACAAGCCUCCAGACCAACAAAAUCUAGCAAAUUAUCGAUCAAACGAUUCCAAAUAAGCUUUAGAAACUACCCAUCAAUGAAAAAGGUUCAGUUUUGAUCAUUUUUGAAAAAGUCAACAAAAGUCAACCCCGGGCUUGCUUGGUCAAAACUCGAGGUUCAGACAAAAACCUGAUUACCCAUUCACCCCGAGCCCGGUUAUAUGAUUUAUUUCGAAAUCCGACACCAAUUCAAGGUCUAAAUCUCAAUUUUUACAAAAUCCCUAAUUUCUACCCAAAUCCAUAAUUUCUACCAUGGAAAUCCUAAAUUUGAUGUUGAAAUCUCAUGAAAAGUAAUGGAGAAUUGAAAAGAAUUGGAUUAAAGUCACUUACCAAUGAAUUUGGGAAGAAACAUCUCUUGAAAAAUUGCCUCUAGAGUUUUUAGGGUUGAUAAAUGGUGUAAAACGAGCUAAGUCCCGAUUUCCUCUCUUUUACCUAGAUGCAGAUGCCGCAAUUACAAAGUCUUGUUCAAAUUGCAAACAUCACAAAUGCGAGACAUGGGUUAAAAAUGUGAACCCUAUAUCACAAGAACUAAAGUCGCAAAUGCAACAAAUUGAUCGCAAAUGCGAAUAACCAGCCUUCAAAAAUACGGCCAAUAUCUUUGCAAUUGCGAAAAAGUCCUAUUUUGCCAGGCAUCACAAAUGUGACCAUGUGAAUGCAAAAGUGAUCUUGUGCUAUUAGCAAUUGCAAAACAUUUCCUCGCAAAUGCAAGCCAGACCUCGCAAAUACGAGAUCUGCUUCAGAACACCAGAGCUGGAAGGACCCUAGCUGACUUCAAACCAUCCAAAUUCAUCUGAAACAUGUCUGAAUCUCACCCGAGCUUACCUGGUAUCUUGGGGACUUCACAUUUCCUCGUUUCUUGCCUGGUGUCUUGGGGAACAAAGAAGCAGAACUCAGUGUCUUUAUCCACAGUUGAAGCAGAAUAUGUGACAACAGCAUCUUACUGUCCUUAAUUACUAUGGAUAAGACAACAGCUAAGGGACUAUGGUAUUUUUAUUGAUUGUGUUCCUAUUUUCUGCAACAAUACCAGUGCCAUAAAUAUUUCUAAAAAUCCUUGUCAGCAUAAGAGAAUAAAGAACAUUGAUAUCAGACAUCACUUUCUUAGAGAUAAUGUUGAAAAGGGAAACAUCUCAAUCAAUUUCUGUAAAAAUGAAGGUCAAAUAGAAGACAUAUUCAUUAAGGCACUGACUAUGGAAGAAACAGACUAGAACUGAGAUUAAUUAACACUUCCAACUAGGUUGAACCCCAAUGAUUGGCUAGAAAAGAAUUUAUUAGUUGUAGAUAACUGAGUAUAAAAUGCUUGAUUCAGUCUCGUGUUUGUCAUAAACACAAACACUCGCCUAGAAAGUCUAGCCGAUGACGAUGUCUCAUGAUACUAACUUACUGUGCUGAAGCAUUAUUGCAGAAAUGACUAAAGAGUUGCUAAGGAGUUGGUUUUUGGACUUAGGUAUGUGCCAUCUUGUCUUAAAAUCAUUAAAACUUAAUAACUAAAAUUACUGCUACUCUCAGAAUUUAUAACCCUGUUAGCAUCACUCCUAGUUAUUUUCAAAGUCAAGGAGAAAGGGGGAAUCCUAGAGCAAUUAGAGUUUAAUUACUUCUGAAAGUCCAGCAGUCAAAGGUAAUCGUUGUUAGAAUCCCGUUAGAACUCAAAUUCAUUACCUUCUAUCUUUCAGUCAAAUCAGGACUACCCUCUUUAAUCCUCUUAUUAUACAUCUCUCAAACCUUACUAUUCCUCUCAAACCCUAAGCAAGAACCAAAGAAAAAUCUCUCGUUCUCUCAGUACCAUGACAAAGUCAAGCCAAACUUCCUCAAAGGCAAAAUCUUCAUCUAAAACUGAGGCAAGACCCAAAAUUAUGAAGCCCAAGCUUAAGAAAAUUGCAAAAUCAACCAGUGAAUCUGCACCCGCACCUGUUGCUUUUCCACCCAUACCCUCUGUUAUACCUACGCCAUCAUUCUCUGCUACUAUUACACCUGCAAUUUCUACCUCUACUGGACUUUCAUCCCCAAAACCAACUGCCCAUGCACCUGUAUCUGUUCCCAAAAUCACCUACAAAACUACUAAGAUCAAGGCUACUUCAUGAAAAUCUGUUAAGAGUGACAAUGUGGUGAUUUGUGCUGGUGGUAAGGGGGAACUAGUAGUUAAGGAAGUUGUGGCUCAGGGGGAGUCUACGUGUGUCACGGCUGAUAAGGUAAAAUCACCUCCAUCAAAGCUUGAUGUUCUAGUUUCUGCUAUUGAGGUUACCCCUUUGGAUAUUGUUGCACCCAUGAGUGACAAACCACAUGUAGAGGAUACUACUGUAGAAACUGAAGUUGUAACUCAGGAGAAAAUUAUGGACACUAUUGAUAAUAUACCUGUGGUUGAGGGGGAAGGGGAGAAAGAAACAGAGAAUAAAGAGUCUUCUGAUAGUACCUCUUAUAGUUGGACUGAGGAUAAGUAUGAUGAGGAAGUUCAUGGGGAGGAAGGAGAAGGAUCUAGUCAUGAGGAGCACUAGGUUCAGGAAAUGGCUCAUAGUAUUGAUUAGAAGAAGAAUGAGAAUGGGGGGGGGGGGAAUCAGUUGAGGAAAAAGAGCAACUAGGUGAACAAGUGGGAGACUCUGCAGAAGAAGAAAAAGAAAUUUAGGGAGAAGGAGACUCUGAGAGUAAGGGUGAUGAAGAUGAAAAAAAAAAGUGAAAGUGAGGGUACUGAUCCUGAGAGUAAGGAGGAGAAUACUAGUGGGGAAUCUGAAGGCUCUAUGGCUAUUGGGAACAUAGUCAUAGCCCAUUUAGAAGAAUUUCGUGGAGAGGAAAGGCCUUCGUUAACUUCUUCUGCUGGAGAUGAGGAGGUUGACAGUGAUAAGGAUGAUUUGCCCUUAUCUGAGGUAGGGAAAAAGGGCAGGAAGGCCCCUGUGAGAUCUACAAAAUUAGUUUCCCAGGCAAGAAAGGAAGUGGAUCCUCGUGUUAGGACUCCUCUCACCAGGAGCAAAAGAAAAGCUGUUGAUGAGCAGAUGAUCAAGGAAUUUAGGGGUGCCAAGAAAACAAGACAGCAAACUCCUGUUACUGAACCUUUAGUUAAGUCGGAUGAAGAGGAUGAAUCUGGUCCUUCUCUGCAGGUCAAGAAACCACUAGUAAAAGGGCUACUGUUAAACACACCAGGGCAACUGCCACCUCUAAGAAGGCCAGCAAAGGAAAGAAAAAAAGGGCUUUACCUCCUAUGAUUGACAGGCUGACUGAAUUCAAGAAUAGAAAUGUGUUGAAUGGGAAGAUACUUGCAAAUAUAGAUGAUAAGGGUAUGGCCCAGUUGGUUGAAAAGCGUGAUCUGCAGGGAUGGAGACAUAUGUUUGUCAAGCCCUUUCCCCCUGUAUAUGUGCCUGUUGUAGUUGAGUUUUAUUCAAACUUCCAAUUUGAUGGCAAGGUGGCAAAGAGUUUUCUAGGAGAAUUUGAUAUGGAGUUUGAUACUGAAGAGAUUGGGCUACUACUAAACAUUCCUUCCCUAGGAUUUCACAACUAUCUGAAGAAGAAGUGGCUAGCUAUAGACAAUGAUAUUGACACGUGCAUUGUAUUUACCAGGAAAGUUUCUCAAAAGUUUGAGUUGGAUGCUCCCUAGGAGGUGUACAAGACUGACAUGACUCCUUUUCACAAACUACUAUUUCACUUUGUGAAAUCUUGCAUUCUGCAGAGAUUUGAGAUGAGCCAUGAGGCCACCCUACUUGACAUAGCUGUUAUGAAACUACUGGAUACAUGUAGAGCCAUAAACUUUCCCAACCUGAUUAGUCAGCACUUGGCAAGGGCUGCAGACACGUCCAAGCCUAAGCAUGCUAUGCCUUAUGGCUUCAUGCUAACUGAGUUGUUUGACAAACUCAACAUUGCCUUGCAUGAGCUAAAUUUUGGGAAUCACAAUGAUGUUAUGGAUGCUGUUACACUCAAGUAGUGUGGUUAUGAGGAGAUCAAGGCUAGAGGGCCAACAGGUUCUGCCAUUUUACCUUGUAGCAUCAGGGUAACCGAGCUCUAUAAAAGGUUGGAAUUGGCUCUAGAGGAGAAUGCUAAGCUUAAAGAAGACAAUGAUGAACUGAGAAAAGAAACCAAGCAACUUAGGAAGGAGCUCAGAAAAGACAGAGAGGCCUAUGCCCAACAGAUUGCCACCCUUGUGAAAGCCUUGACCCCCUCCUCUUAUUACCCCUGAUCUUGGUCCUUUACCACUAGUCUCCAGUUUGUUUUGUUAACCCAGUGGUGCAAUUUUUUUUUGUUAUUAUAGUUCUGAGUAGGUUGCAGGUUGUUUCAGAUUAUUUUGUUCUAAUGUUUUAGCUUAAGGCCAUGGGCUUAAUUUGGCACUACUUAAUGAACUCUCCUAUGUUUUUUACAUGCUUCUCACAUAGUUUUAUCAUCAUCACAGUUUAUUUGUCUUGAUAUUUAUUGUGCUUGUGCUAUAUCCUCGAUGGCCAUGAAUCUUGCAUUAACUAUGCUUGGACUGUCUAACAGCUUUUUGUUUUUAUGAUGAUGCUAAAAGGGGGAAGAUAAAGUUGUGGGUGCUUGAUGUACUUGCUCUGAUCACAUUGUGUUAUUGUUAUAAGAUGAUUAAUUACCUGGUUUAUGCGCACAAAGUUUGUCAUCAUCAAAAAGCGGGAAUUUAUUGAGUAUUGGGAUUUUGAUGUAUAACAAAGUGUGUCCAGAGAAUGUGCGCUAAAAACCAGGUCCUCGAGGUACUUGAUGAAGUACACUAAGAACCUGGUCCUCAAGGUCGCUGUUGAAGGUUCUUACAAGGCAGCAACUUUCUUACAAAGUUACUCUAGUCCGAGAUUGUUGGAAGAAGACUGUUAAUGUGAUAAGGGCCGUUGUCCAAGAAUAUAUGUUCCCAUAAGUGAUAGACAAGAGUCACAAGAUUUGUGGAGUCCUUGGAACUGUAUGAGUCUUAUCAAAUUAGAAGUUGACUAUGCAUAGGACUCCUAAAAGAUCUCGGAGCUCAGUGAACUUAAAUACUUUCCUGAUAAAUUGAGGAUAAUUAUACUUUUGCAUGUCAACUUUGGAACUACAUUUUCAACAGUCAAGUUGAUUACUAGUCUUAGUAUUCUUCUUGAGUCAGUUAGUGAAUGUGUAUUAGGAAAUCAAGUUGAAAUCAAGGUGUCAUACAUAAUCUGUGUUAGCACUUUAAAGUGUGUGUUAGCACUUUAAGGUUUUGUAGUCAACACGUUGGAAAGUAAGGUCAACACAUUAAAAAAUAGGGUCAUCAUAUUUUGAAAGAAAUUGUAGUAAGUAUAAAUAACGAGAUUAUGUAUUAUUCCUUUCUUCACCACAUUGGAGUAUUGAGAGCUUAGUUUUGAAGGAUUUUGACCUAGAUUUUCAGCUACAAAUUUGAGAUAAGAAAUUCUAACCUAAAUAUAUGAUUCUCACAUGAAUCUAUCACAAGUGUAACAUCAAAAUAUGAAUUUGAUCAAUAGAAAAAUGAGUUUUUUGACUAAAACUUAAGAGAGUUGACUUUUGUGGGUUUGAACAUAGAAAUUGUCUCAUAUUUGAAAAUAAAUUGCAUAUUUGGAUUCGAGAGGUUGUGGCCACUAAAAUUUGAAUUUAAUCUCAAAUUUUGACCAUGUGGGCCCUUAUUAACGUUUUUGUUGACUUUUGAGAUUUUGAUAAGAUUGAAUCUUUUUCACAUGAGAUUAAUUCCUAUAGCCGUAUUUGACCCCGUCGAGUAUUCUUUGGAUAGAUUAUGAAUAUUGGAGGCCAUAGAGAAAGAAAAGAGUGGAUUUUGAAGAAUAGAGCUAGCCCGGGUUAGAGGUAAGUGUCUCGCAUAACCUCGACUAGAGGGAAUUUUUCCAAAUAUGGACUUAUUUUCUAGAUGCUUUGUGGUUGGAGAUGACGUAUAUGCAAGGUGACGAGCGCAUAUACGAGUGCCAGUUAGGGCAUGUGGAUUCACGUCCUUAUUUUGAGGUAUCAGUUAGGGCAUGUGGAUUCACAUUUAUGUCUUGAUGUAUCAGUUAGGCAUGUAGAUUCACGUUCCUAUUUUGUAUGUGGAUAAGGAUCCAUCCCUCUAGAGUUGCCCUUCCAUGCUUCUAUCUUGGUGCGUAAAUGCGGGUUUGUGAAAAACUGAUAGGUUUUUUGGUUUGAGAAAUUGAUGAGUUUAAGCAUAAAUUUGAAAGUUCUAUUUAAUUUGAGUGAUCCCUUAUGUAUGUUCAUGCAUUCUUGCUGUCAUGACCCAAAAUCUCACCAAGUCGUGAUGAUACCCAACCCAACCCACUAGGUAAGCCAAACAACUAGAAACACAACUCAAAUAAAAUAUCAUCAAUAAUCAAUGAAUAACGUAGCUAAAUUUUCUACAAUAUCCCAAGGACCGAUAGUACAAUUCAUGAGUCACUAAGAUUUAGAUUUACAAAGUUGGUAUGAAGAAUAAAUACAAUAUUUAUUUGAAUAUACAUAAACAAAAGUACAAAUACUAAACUACCAAGAACAAGUGGUAGCUUAUAUAUGGAAUGUAGGCACGCAUUCAAUGCUAGCCUUUAUCAUCCACAACAGCUCAUCUCCAAGAUCUGCACAUAAGGUGCAGAAAUAUAGUAUGAGUACAACUGACCCCAUGUACUCAGUAAGUAUCCUGACUAACCUCGGUGAAGUAGUAACGAGGGUUCAGGUCAAGGAUACUCACUUUACAUAACCUGUACAACUCAAUAACAUAUACAUAUUCCUAGCAAAAAUAUCGAAAUCUAAGCCUGAAGCUCGGAUAAGGCCAUCGGUGCACAUAGAGAAGAUAUGCACAAACAUUUUAACCAACUAACAUAUUGGCAUAUAGAGAAGAUACACAUUUAAUAUCAAAUAACUUGUCAACAAUUUUAUAUAGAGAAAAUAUGAAUGAAAUAUCGAAUACCAUCAACAACUUGCAUAUAGAGAAGAUAGACAUGAAGUAACAAUAAUUCAUCACAAGUUGCAUGUAGAGAAGCUAUGCAUAAGCAAGUCAAGUAACACUGGCUGACAUAUGGAGAAGAUAUGUAUCGUGAGUUAUUUCAUCAAAUAAUGCAAUAUAUAGAGAAGAUAUGCAUAAAAGGCAUGUGUACAUUCUGGAGCUAGCAUAUACAGAAGAUACGCAAUGAAAAUAAUGUAUACAUCCAAGGAGUUUGUAUAUAGAGAAGGUACACAAAAUCCAACCACUGGGCAGUUUUCUAUAAUCCGCAUGUACAUCAUCAAGGAGAAACAUGAGAGGAUGAUCCUAGGGGGAUGGAUCCUUAUCCACAUGCUGCACAGACAACUCACAUGCUAUAAUCAUAACCACUACACGGAUAAAUCAUGUGCCAUAAUCCCAACAAUCGCACGGACAACUCACGUGCUAUCAAUCCAGUCCAUCAUGUAAAAAACAUAUACAAGGUUAUAUGUAUAUAGUCAACAGAUAUCAAAUCACAUACUCAUGGACUAAGGAAAAAAUCAUGCUAAGGUGUAUGCAUGUGCAAAGUGUACAAUUAUAGCUCAGGUUAGGUGGGUACGCCAUAUAGAAACGAGUAUCAUGACCAAACAGAAAAUCAAGUCCUACACAUGAUUUGAGAAGUUCAUGUAGUCAUUCAAACAUAUAAAGCAUGAUAGCAGGAAUCACAAUAUCCAAAACAAGGCAUGAUAUAGCCUAAAGACUACUCUAGUCAUGAAUCGUACAUUGCACCCGCAUAUACACUCGUCACUUCGUAUAUACAUUGCUUCUCACAUAUUCUAAUUAGAAAAAUAAGGUCAUAUCCUAAGGGUUAUUCCCUCAACAAGAUUAGGCAAGAUACUUACCUCAUCUGGACUAGCCUUCAGCCUCAAAUCACAUCAAGACCUCGCUUUAGCCCCCCAAUCACGCAAAUCCAAUCCAAUCAUCAACCAAGGAAGUCAAGAAAUGCUAUAGGAAGCGAUCCCAAUCCAUAAGAAUUCGAUCUUUUAAUUAAUUUCUAAAAAUAUCAACAAAAGUCAACACGAGCCAGUGUGCCCAAAUCCGGAACCAAUACCAAAUCCUGAUGACCCAUAACUUGCCUAGUCAAAAUAUGUGAUUAGAUUCCCAAAUCGAGUCCAAAUCGGUACUCAAAUCCCCAAAAAUAUAUUCUCUUAAACUGUAGGCAAAUACCCUAAAUUUCAUCUCAAAAUUCCAUAUUUUAGAUAUUACUAAUUCAUGUAAAUUUUAAAAUGAUACCAUAAAUGAGUAAAAAUCACUUACCCCAAAGUCUUGAAUGAAAUUCUCCAUGCAAAAUCUCCCCACUCCAAGUCUAGGGUUGAAAUUAUGAUAGAAUGAGUCAAAAUCCCAAAAUAACAUCUUAAAUAAGUCUACCCAGGGAUAUCCUUUGCGAACGCGGCCCAAUCCUCGCUUUCGCGAAGCACAUCACUGCCGCUUCCAAAACCUCAAACGCGAUCAAGGAACAUCACACGCGAUUGCAAAACUCUUUAGCUCCCAUAACAUCACAGACGCAGAUGAAAUAACGCGAACAUGAAGCACAAUGCCCCCAACUCAGGACUCCACAACACGAACACAAUCUCCAUCUCCGCGAACGCGAUAAACAAUUCACUACCUGCCUCUUCCUCUAUACGAAUGCGGCAUCAUCCAUGCGAACACGAUGAAUUGACCAAGACACUACUCUAACGCAAAUUACACAUCGCAAACGCGAUGAACAAAAUCUCGCUUGCCAACAUCAUUUUUUGCGAUCGCGAUGCACUGCAACAACCAACACAUCAGCUACUUCAAACUCAACCAAAAUAAUUCGAAACUACCCCGAAUCGCACCUGUGACCUUCAGAACCCUGUCCAAUCAUAUCAAAAAGUCAAAGAUUAAAAUCCUAAGAAUCAAAGAUUAAAAUCCUACUCUUAACUUUCAAACCGUCAAACUUCACCGAAUGUGUCUGAAUCGCACUUAAAAAUUUCGGAUCACAAAAAAAUAUCACACAAGUUCCAAUCAACUAAACUAACCUAUACAAUCUCUCAAAACCAUAAUAGGAGUCCGAUAACACUGAAAUCAACUCCCGAUCAAAUUUAUGAACUCUCAAAUUCUUCAAAUUUCUAACUUUCGACAAAUAGAUUCAAAUCUUUUAGGAACAUCCAAAUUCAAGUUUGAACAUACACACAAGUCCAAAAUUACCAUAUGAACCUACUGAAACCCUCAAAUCUCGAUUCCGAGAUCGUUUAUUUGAAAGUCAAACUUUGGUCAACUCUUCCAAUUUAAUGCUUCCAAAUUAAGCAUCACUCUAUCAAAUUCAUCCCGAACCACUCGAAAAUCAAAACCAACCAUGCACACAAGUCAUAAUACACCAUAUGAAGCCACUCAAUGUCUCAUAUUACAGAACAAAAUUCUAGAACUCAAAGCGACCGAUCGGGUCGUUAUAUUCUCCCUCACUUAAACAUAAAUUCGUCGUCCAAUGUGCCAAAAGUCCUUCUAAAGGCAUCCAAUCACUGCAUAAACUCAUCAUACAUAUAUCCACGGGUGAUACCAUAUCACCACAAUCCAUGUAAGUCCAUUAGCACAACCCCGACUGAAGAUUCUUUCUUCAACCUUAGCCCAUAAAUCUUAGAACUAAUUUCUAUCAUUCGGAAUUCCUUAUAAGAUCCGAUUCUUGCAUAUAUACACUGCAUAAGUCUCAACAAACUGCAUCAAGUCAUAAAUAUAUUCCCAUGAUAUAACCACAUGAUGUAGCAUAUAACUAAUGUACCCAUAGUAAUAUCUUCAAACUGCGAUAACUGCUCAUUACCAAAUCUGGUACCGGUAACAUAUCUCAUAUUAAAUAAAACCUUGUGCCAAACAUUUGCAACACUACUAAUAAUUGAAAAAACAUGUAGAUAUCCAUAACCACCUAUCAAAUCAACAAGUCAUAAAGUCCUCUCGGCCGACAAAAAUCAUUGCCAAAUUAUAAGCCGACUAAUGCCAUUCUUCUUCCAAACAUACCUUAUCCAAAUCCGAUUGCACUAAUUCUUGGUUCAACCAUCUCGUCUCACCUAGUAUAAGCUGCUCAACUGAAAGCCACACUAAGGGCUACCUAGAGCCACAUACGACAUAAUCUGUACCCAGCUAACAACAACUCAAUAACCAAUAAUGGGGAGAGAACCGAAUGAGAGAACUAUACAACAAGUUCGACAGAUACAACCAUAAAAGCACAAUGCUAUGAUUCUAUCCCACAAGGUAUAAUCAAAACACACAAAAUAAGCACAAAGAAUCAUACCAGCAUAUAGUUCCGUUGCAGUGUGUAACCCGAUCUAAUAUAUCAAUUCACAUGGAACACCUAUCGUGCCCAAAUGCACAUACUCAACAAACAUAUGUGUAUCGACAACAAGCACACGAAGUACAUGACAUAACUAUGGGAAGACAUAUAGCACAUUAUACUAUGGAUAGGAAAAACACGAUUAAGGUGCAAUAAGCAAGCCAACAUCUCAAGAGCCAUCUCGCUCAAAUAUCACCACAAGACCUAAACAGAACCACAUCAUGCGUGUGAAUAGUUAAAUAGUCUCACAACCCAUCAUAACAUAAGAGAGUAGCACAUGAAACUACUCAAGGCAUGAGUAACAUCCACUUUGCCCGAUGACACACCUACAAUAAAUGUUGCACAAGAGUAAGCAAACCUUAUCUGAUGUAGAUUACACAUUCUCUUUAUUCCUCAACAUAAAUUCCUUACAUCCCAAAAUAGGUAAUUCACCUUCCAAAAGUCCAUAGUGACCUAUACAUAUAUAGCGACCUGACCGGUCAUUUAUUGUAUUUGGAGCCCUACUUCCGUAUUUGAUUCUCCCAGUAUGCUUGUUUGUUAUUUUGUGACUUGCAAGGAUGGUUGAUUUAGUUUCGGGAAGGUUUUGGAGUGAAUUGGAAUACUUAGUUCCAUUCUUCGAAGCCUAAGUUGUAAGAGUUGACCGAGGUCUGACUUCUAUUUAAACGAUCUCAUAUUGGUGUUUGAUGAGUCCAAUAGGUUUGUAUGGUAUUUUGCACUUGGGCGUAUGUGUGGAUUUUGAUUUGGAGGUUCCUAGUAUGUUUUGGCUCUAAUUGUCGAAAGAUGGAAGUUUGAAGGCUUGAAAAGUUUAUAGGUUUAAUCCGGAGUUGAAUUUGAUGAUAUCGGGGUUGGAUUAUUGUUCGGAAGCUUGGAAUAAGUUCAUUUUAUCAUUUGGGACUUGUGUGCAAUGUUUGGAUGGAAUCCGGAUUGGCUAGGCUUGAAUUAGACGCUUGGUUUGAAGUUAUGAAGAUCUUGAACUUAGUUAAAGUUUUAUUUGUGGUUUGAUAUUUGAUUCGUAUAUGUGAUGGCCUCAUAUUUGUUUGGAUGCUUUGUAUAGGUUCAAGUAGUAUUUGAGGACUUGUUGGUGUGAUUGGACGGGGUCCCGGGUGGCUCAGGUGAGUUCCGGACCACCCAGAGCUUGUUUGAGGUUGUAGAUUUUCUGCUGGUAUCUGGUGUGCUUUGGAUAGUGGAGUAUGUCUUGUGAUCACCGAGGGUUAAUUUGUGGCAGCUAUUAUUUGUUCUUUGCAUUCGUGGGUAGAGGAUUGCGUUCGCGGUGUGUAUGGUCAGUGGCUUUCACGUUCGCGCUACAGUGGUCGCGUUCAUGGAGCGUGGGAGGCAGGCUGGAAGAUUAGCCUUCACGAUUGCAUGAUGGGUGUCGAGUUCGCGUAGUUCUGGGUUCCUGCACUUCAGAUUCAUGAUGUAGGUUCCGCAUUCGCAAAAAAGGCUUUGAGGCAGUAGCAGAUUUGUGCUUCAAGAAUGCGAGGCUUUGGCCGUCUUCGCGAAAGGUAUCGCUGGGUAGACACUUAAGUGUUAUAUUUCGGGAUUUUAUCCCUUUCUCUCAUAUCUUGAACCCU